GACAGAGGUUGCAAACGUUGUUCGGAAUUACUGGGCAUAAAGAGCACGUAGGCGGUCCGCUAAGUCAGACGUGAAAUCCCCCGCUCAACCGGGGAAUUGCGCCUGAUACUGGUGGGCUCGAGGUUGGUAGGGGGUGAGCGGAACUCCAGGUGGAGCGGUGAAAUGCGUAGAUAUCUGGAGGAAUACCGGUGGCGAAGGCGGCAUCCUGGACCGCUAUUGACGCUGAGGCAG
rnacentral:rRNA from 1 species